UAAUGUGAGGUGUUUGGACUACGACAUUAGUCANCCCAUGAUUUUCAAGGGUUGAUUGAGCUGAUGUGGCUGGGUAGGCAGAUGUCCCUUUCUCCAUCNUCAUUCUGGGUGUAGCCUUCCAAAUCAUUGAGCUCUGUCAGCGACUCCCCCCUACAAAGGAAGACUGUGACUCAGCUGGGUGUAUAGAAGACACUACCCUUGCUUGCUAGAAUCUCUUAGACAAGCUUUCAAGAUAACAGUUUUCUUCGUUUUCUAAAUGGAAAGGGUGACCUUGCAAAUCAAGGAAUAUCCUUUAUGAUUGGGGAGCAACCUCAUAAG
rnacentral:snRNA from 1 species